AGGACAGUGGAGUCUUCAAAAGAAGAAGAAUGUUUACAGGUGUCUUGAUGCUGCCCUGGACUGUUGGACUUCUGACUCCAGACUACAGAGAAAUAAGUCUGUUCAGUGUUGGUGUGGUUUUCAUCAAUCAAGGCAGAUGACAAGUUUUAGAUCUUGAAAUCUGAGAUUUUACUCCUAUUUGUUUUCAGUGAGAGAGAAAGCUAAACUGUCUGCACUGGGUUCAGGUGCUGGAAGAAUAUCUGUGUCCCAACCACAUGGAAUUGGGAUUUUCAAGUCCACUGACCUCUUCAGCUUGCUAUGCUUAGGUUCUCGCUCCCAAGAAGAGUGGAGAAAUGUUGCCUGAGAAAGGCUAAAUUCAACAUUGCUACAAAUUCCAGAUCUACUUCCCUCAUUUCCAUCAGUGGCCUUGUUCAUGCUUGCAGACAAUAUUUUAACAUACUGUGUUUACAGCCACGACAGAUUUCCACUUUUCCAUACUGCAAACCUAAACAAGAAGAACUGAAGAAAACUGACAAUCCUGCAUUCACAUUUAACAAGUAGCAGAUGAACAGAGAAGCCCUGCACUCACCAGAAUCAUCUCACUAUUCUAUUUCGAGGAAGUACUUAAAUAUUCGACAAUGGAAAAUAAAAAGGAGCUAUCAAGAG
rnacentral:lncRNA from 1 species